UACAGAGGGGGCAAGCGUUGUUCGGAAUUACUGGGCGUAAAGGGCGCGUAGGCGGCCUUCUAAGUCGAACGUGAAAUCCCCGGGCUCAACCCGGGAACUGCGUCCGAUACUGGAAGGCUUGAAUCCGGGAGAGGGAUGCGGAAUUCCGAGGUGUAGCGGUGAAAUGCGUAGAUAUCUGGAGGAACACCGGUGGCGAAGGCGGCUCACUGGCCCGGUACUGACGCUGAGGCGCGAAAGCG
rnacentral:rRNA from 1 species